rnacentral:rRNA from 1 species
UACGUAGGCAGCGAGCGUUGUUCGGAAUUAUUGGGCGUAAAGCGCGUGUAGGCGGCUUUGCAAGUCGGGUGUGAAAGCCCUCAGCUUAACUGAGGAAGUGCGCCCGAAACUGCAGAGCUUGAAUACCGGAGAGGAUGGCGGAAUUCCCCAAGUAGAGGUGAAAUUCGUAGAUAUGGGGAGGAACACCGGUGGCGAAGGCGGCCAUCUGGACGGCUAUUGACGCUGAGACGCGAAAGCGUGGGGAGCAAACAGG